rnacentral:lncRNA from 1 species
AGAGAGAGAGAGCGAGAGAAAGCGGCAUGCGAGAGAGAGGGCCGGGGGAAGGCGAGAGAGAGAUGAAAAUAAUACCGUUAAUUAGAUUUGGGGUUGUUGGAGGGUAAAAUUGUCAUUUUACAUAAUAUGUAGUAUUAACGGGUUUCAGUAAUGUAAGAUACACGACCCCCCUCCCGUUAAUAUUUUCGAUGUAAUCCUGCUCGAUUUGUAAUCCUACAUUAACGAUUAGAUUACAUAGCGGAUUAACCAAACAUAGUUAUCCUGGCAGGAUUGCCUGUAAUCCUGCCAGGAUAACUCGAACCAAACGCACCCUGAAGUCAUUAUGGUUUACAUCUCUUCACUAUUAAUUUUUCUUAUCUCAAAUUUCUACAUUGACGAAAUAA